UCCCCAGCCGCGCCCUCAGAGCAUGCGCAGACCAGCUGGCCGGUGUGUUUACGGACAUAUUCAAUCAAUCCCUAUACCAGUCUGCUGUUCCCACAUGCUUCAAGAGGGCCACCAUUGUUCCUGUUCCCAAGAAAGCUAAGGUAACUGAGCUAAACGACUACCGCCCCGUAGCACUCACAUCCGUCAUCAUGAAGUGAUAUGGUCCUUGACUAGUCUCUCAAAGCACUUCAUGAUGACGGAUGUGAGUGCUACGGGGCGGUAGUCGUUUAGCUCAGUUACAUUAGCUUUCUUGGGAACAGGAACAAUGGUGGCCCUCUUGAAGCAUGUGGGAACAGCAGACUGGUAUAGGGAUUGAUUGAAUAUGUCCGUAAACACACCGGCCAGCUGGUCUGCGCAUGCUGCAGGCCCAGACGGCAUCCCCAGCCGCGCCCUCAGAGCAUGCGCAGACCAGCUGGUCGGUGUGUUUACGGACAUAUUCAACCAAUCCCUAUACCAGUCUGCUGUUCCCACAUGCUUCAAGAGGGCCACCAUUGUUCCUGUUCCCAAGAAAGCUAAGGUAACUGAGCUAAACGACUACCGCC
ensembl:lncRNA